rnacentral:rRNA from 1 species
AGAGAGAGACAUGCGCGCAUAUCAAUAAGCGGAGGAAAAGAAACUAACAAGGAUUCCCUUAGUAACGGCGAGUGAAGCGGGAAGAGCUCAAAUUUGAAAUCUUCAAGGUUUUACCUUGACGAAUUGUAGUUUAAAGAAGUGUUUUCUGCUGAAGUUUUGGUAAAAGUUCUUUGGAAUAGGACAUCAUAGAGGGUGAGAAUCCCGUAUUUGACCAUUAUUUUCAGCUUUGUGAUACACUUUCAAAGAGUCGGAUUGUUUGGGAAUGCAGUCCAAAAUGGGUGGUAAAUUUCAUCUAAAGCUAAAUAUUGGCGAGAGACCGAUAGCGAACAAGUACCGUGAGGGAAAGAUGAAAAGAACUUUGAAAAGAGAGUUAAACAGUACGUGAAAUUGUCAAAAGGGAAGCGUUUGACACCAGUGUUGUUUUCUCGAAAAUCAAUUAAAAAUGGCUCGAUUUUGCUAUUGCUUGAGACCUUAAAAGCUCACUGUACAUUUUUCGUGUCUUUUUUAAUGCACUUUUCGUUUAACAAGUCAACAUCAGUUUCUUUUGUUGUAAAAGGGUCAUUGGAAGGUGGCUUUCUUUUCGGAGAAAGUGUUUAUAGCCUUUGGCCUCUGCAAUCGGAGAGACUGAGGUCUGCAGCGUAGACUCUUCGGGGUUAGAUACAUUUGUGCUAAGUUAUAGCUUUUUAUAGACAACUUGUUGACUAUAAUUAGUCUUGUAGCUUACUCGCUUAUGCUAUUUUACCUACGCUUAGGAUGUUGAGUCGUAGAGCACGCAG